CAACGAUACUAAUUUUAAAAACUUUUAGAUGGACAAAUUUCGAGUUGAGUGGUAGUGUUUUUUUCAAUAGAAAUACUCGCUGAAUGUGGAAAUAAAAAAUGAGCGCCUUUCUAGCCUUGCGCCUAGAAUAAGGCACAUGCCUAGGCACAUAAGGCGAGAGUUUGAUGAAUGUCGCCUGCUUUUCUCCUAUAGAGGCGCUAAGGCUAGAACCUAGUGAGCUAGGAGCCUGAGACGUGCCUUUAAUAA
rnacentral:misc_RNA from 1 species